AGAAAGGGUCAGUUGGCUAAAUAUGCCACGUUCACGCUUGUUGGGGAAUGCUGUAUGGCUAUCAAGGCAAAUGGCUGACACAUUUUCUGGAAAUUAAUAGGGUUGGCUCGCUCAGCCGACCUUCAU